rnacentral:rRNA from 1 species
AAUGAACGCUGGCGGCGUGCUUUACACAUGCAAGUCGAGCGAGGCCGGGUAGCAAUACCCGAGUCGAGCGGCGCACGGGUGAGUAACGCGUGGAUGACCUGCCUGAGGGUGGGGGGAUAACCCGGGGGAAACUCGGGCUAAUACCGCAUAAAACCGAGAGGUCAAAGGGGGCCGCAAGGCUCUCGCCUGCAGAGGGGUCCGCGUCCGAUUAGCUAGUUGGCAGGGUAAUGGCCUACCAAGGCGACGAUCGGUAGCCGGCCUGAGAGGGUGAUCGGCCACACUGGAACUGAGACACGGUCCAGACACCUACGGGUGGCAG